rnacentral:rRNA from 1 species
AUUGAACGCUGGCGGCAGGCCUAACACAUGCCAGUCGAGCGGAGCGGCGGACGGGUGAGUAAUGCCUAGGAAUCUGCCUGGUCGUGGUGGAUAACGUCCGGAAACGGGCGCUAAUACCGCAUACUAUCAGAUGAGCCUAGGUAGGAUUAGCUAGUUGGUGGGGUAAAGGCCUACCAAGGCGACGAUCCGUAACUGGUCUGAGAGGAUGAUCAGUCAAAACGGAACGGAGAAACGGGACAGACUCCUACGGGAGGCAGCAGUGGGGAAUAUUGGACAAUGGGCGAAAGCCUGAAACAGCCAUGCCGCGUGUGUGAAGAAGGUCUUCGGAUUGUAAAGCACUUUAAGUUGGGAGGCGUUACCAGCAGAAUAAGCAGCGGCUAACUUCGUGCCAGCAGCCGCGGUAAUUC